rnacentral:rRNA from 1 species
GGGAGGUAGUGACAAUAAAUAACAAUACGGGGUUCUUUCGGAUCUCGUAAUUGGAAUGAGUACAAUUUAAAUCUCUUAACGAGGAACAAUUGGAGGGCAAGUCUGGUGCCAGCAGCCGCGGUAAUUCCAGCUCCAAUAGCGUAUAUUAAAGUUGUUGCAGUUAAAAAGCUCGUAGUUGAAUUUCGGGAUCAAUAUGCCGGUCAUGCCUUGGUAUGCACUGGUAUCUUUGAUUUCUCCCUUCUGACGAACUUUGAUGUCAUUAAUUUGGUGUCAUAGGGAAUCAGGACUGUUACUUUGAAAAAAUUAGAGUGUUUAAAGCAAGCUCACGCUUGAAUACAUUAGCAUGGAAUAAUGAAAUAGGACGUUUGAUUCUAUUUUGUUGGUUUCUAGGAUCGACGUAAUGAUUAAUAGGGAUAGUUGGG